rnacentral:rRNA from 1 species
GAGUUUGAUCCUGGCUCACAACGAACGCUGGCGGCAGGCCUAAUACAUGCAAGUCGAACGAACCUUCGGGUGAGUGGCGCACGGGUGCGUAACGCGUGGGAACCUACAUCUAGGUGAGGAAUAACACAGAGAAAUUUGUGCUAAUACCUCAUAACAUCCCCGGAUCAAAGAUUUAUCGCCUAGGGAUGGGCCCGCGUCUGAUUAGGUAGUUGGUAGGGUAAAAGCCUACCAAGCCGACGAUCAGUAGCUGGUCUUAGAGGACGAUCAGCCACACUGGAACUGAGACACGGUCCAGACUCCUACGGGAGGCAGCAGUAAGGAAUAUUGCGCAGUGGGGGAAACCCUGACGCAGCCAUGCCGCGUGAGUGAAGAAGGCCUUAGGGUUGUAAAGCUCUUUCAGAUGCGAAGAUAAUGGCGGUAACAUCAGACGAAGCUCCGGCUAAAUUCGUGCCAGCAGCCGCGGUAAUACGAACGGAGCGAGCGUUGUUCGGAAUCACUGGGCGUAAAGCGUAUGUAGGCGGAUUUGCAAGUCAGAAGUGAAAUCCAGGGGCUCAACCUCUGAACUGCUUUUGAAA